rnacentral:lncRNA from 1 species
UUGGAUUGUAUGUGAGAAAUAUCUACACUAUAUAGAAAUCAUAAGUGACGAUCGAAAUAUCUCUAGAGCUCUUAAUAGGAACAACAACAUCUUCUUCUUUAUCGAUAGUCAAUUGAUGGAAAUCGUUUUCCAUAAGAAGGGGAAAGAAGAAGUUAAGUUUAAGAAAGAAGAAAAUGCUAGAGUAUCGAGGUACAAAAGGACCACAGAGAGAAACUUUCAAAUCCAUUAUUAAACUGUAGAAAAUAAACUUGAUUGUACAUUUAUUAACAAAUUUUGAAAUCCUUUACCAAUUUUAGUAACAAAUAAAAAUUUAUUAUUAAAUUUAGUAACUGAAAUUCAUUACUAC